CUUCCCACGAUUCCGCCCAGCUAAAAUUCUCCCAAGGCGCGUGCGCGUUCUAUUUCGCUACACCUGCAACCUCAAGGGCGGGGGCCGCGGCCGUGGCCACGUGCGACUCCCCGUGGGUCCGUAUGGGGGCGCCGCCCUGCGCACUGCGACUGCCUCCCUUCCCCAGUGCGCAAGGAGGAGUGACCAUUUCUGAGUCCGACUCCUCCCCCACCCUGGGCUAACUCAGACCAACUCAACAGAGACUGGUCUAGCUGGGAACCCUGAACUUGACCUUGGAGCCCCCUCCUUCACGCUGGCUCCUAAGCUCAGUCUCGAGGCGGGGCUGCCUCUCAAUUCCGUCCAUCUGGACUCUGUCCUUCCCCUUUCUGGGGAAGGGGGAGACAGACCCCUGGAAUUUGUUCUCCUUUCCCGAGGCUCCUGGACCAGAGAUCCUGGGAAAAGGGACACCAUCUUCUGAUGCUUUCUUGCUUCCGCCCUGCUAAUCUCACACCUCGGAUCAUCCCAUGAAUCACCGGCUCCGUGGACACCAA